rnacentral:rRNA from 1 species
CCUACGGGAGGCAGCAGUGAGGAAUAUUGGUCAAUGGACGAGAGUCUGAACCAGCCAAGUAGCGUGAAGGAUGACUGCCCUAUGGGUUGUAAACUUCUUUUAUAUGGGAAUAAAAUGUUCCACGUGUGGGAUUUUGUAUGUACCAUAUGAAUAAGGAUCGGCUAACUCCGUGCCAGCAGCCGCGGUAAUACGGAGGAUACGAGCGUUAUCCGGAUUUAUUGGGUUUAAAGGGUGCGUAGGUGGAUUGUUAAGUCAGUUGUGAAAUUUUGAGGCUCAACCGUAAAAUUGCAGUUGAAACUGGCAGUCUUGAGUACAGUAGAGGUGGGCGGAAUUCGUGGUGUAGCGGUGAAAUGCUUAGAUAUCACGAAGAACUCCGAUUGCGAAGGCAGCUCACUGGACUGCAACUGACACUGAGGCUCGAAAGUGUGGGUAUCAAACAGGAUUAGAUACCCCUGUAGUC